rnacentral:sRNA from 1 species
AUGGUGGGCGCAUGGCAGGAGCAUCUUCAUGGUUCUUGAGAUCGGGAGCAGCAUAAGCAGUAUGAGGAUGGAGAAGAAUGGCUGUGCUGUUCCUUCUCCUCCUCCUUCUCAAGAACUCUUCAGUUUGUCCAUGCCUUUCAUGGCCUAGUUCCCUGGAUUCCAGAAUCUCUGGGUGGCUUAGGGAGGUAUGAACAAAUCGGCAAGUCACAAAAUCGGCGAUGGUGAGCUCCGACAGGAGUUUA